AUGAGAAAGAGAGAAAGAGAGAGAGAGAGAGAGAGAGAAAUGUCGCAGGUUCUUGGUUCCACCGCUAAUAUGGCGUUGCCCACUCCAUGUCUCAAAUUGAGGUACCCUCUCAGCCUGCGAACAACCAAUUUCUUGAAAGAACGGCCAUUUUUCCGUUUUCACCGGCUCUCCUCCUCGCAACGUCUCCGAUGUCUUCCUCCUAUUGCGAAUGUUAUUCUGCCGGCAUUUGAUUCCCAGGUGG